GACGAACGCUGGCGGCGUGCUUAACACAUGCAAGUCGAACGGAAAGGCCCUGCUUUUGUGGGGUGCUCGAGUGGCGAACGGGUGAGUAACACGUGAGUAACCUGCCCUUGACUUUGGGAUAACUUCAGGAAACUGGGGCUAAUACCGGAUAGGAGCUCCUGCUGCAUGGUGGGGGUUGGAAAGUUUCGGCGGUUGGGGAUGGACUGGCGGCUUAUCAGCUUGUUGGUGGGGUAGUGGCAUACCAAGGCUUUGACGGGUAGCCGGCCUGAGAGGGUGAACGGCCACAUUGGGACUGCGAUACGGCCCAGACUCCUACGGGAGGCAGCAGUGGGAAAUAUUGCACAAUGGGCGGAAGCCUGAUGCAGCAACGCCGCGUGCGUGAUGACGGCCUUUGGGUUGUGAACCGCUUUCGCCUGUGACGAAGCGUGAGUGACGGUAAUGGAUAAAGAAGCACCGGCUAACUACGUG
rnacentral:rRNA from 1 species